AAGCAUCUAAACCGGAUCAGAAGGUCAUGAAACCAUUCUUAUUUGGAGGACAGAGAGAGGGAGCGACGGCGAUGUCGAUGGCGGCGAUGGCGAGAGGAGAAGCAUUGAUCGCGUACAGAGCUCUGCUGAGGGCGACACGGAAAUCGUUCGCCGGAGACACGGAGAUGCUGUCGGCUUCUGCGGCUGAGAUCCGUAAGAAGUUCGAAGAGAAUCGCAACGUCUCCUCGGAGUCGGAUAUCCCUCGCCUUCUCGAAGAGGCCCGUGAGGCCGCUCAUUUCAUCUCCACCAUGAUCGUCCAAGCCCGCCUUAACGACCGUGGCGGCUAUGAGGUUAAAGCAAGUAAGGAACAUGCUGGAGCCACGCUCGAGGUUCCGUCGGAGGAGAUGCUUCGGAAGUCUGUAAAGUGAGUGUUACGACUUGUCGGAUGUAGCUCCGUUUUCUACUGGAUUCGAAGAAUUAGACGCAAAAGGCUACUACCGUUUCUUAUCUGUUACAGAACCCCUAGUGUUCGUUGGGUGAGGGAAUAUCACGGAUUUACCAAUCUUACUGAGCUUGAGACCGUGUAUCCUGUGCAAUGUCGUCCUCUCAGGAUCAUUAGAUGUCUGCAUAGUGACAGGAAGAGUAGACAACCUGGGAUUUGAAGUUGUUACUUGUUAGGCUAACCUCAAAUUGAGAUUUCUAAUGUCCCAUCUCGCUGAUCUUCUCUCAGCUGUUGACUUCUU